rnacentral:rRNA from 1 species
GUGGGGAAUCUUGCGCAAUGGGCGAAAGCCUGACGCAGCCAUGCCGCGUGAAUGAUGAAGGUCUUAGGAUUGUAAAAUUCUUUCACCGGGGACGAUAAUGACGGUACCCGGAGAAGAAGCCCCGGCUAACUUCGUGCCAGCAGCCGCGGUAAUACGAAGGGGGCUAGCGUUGCUCGGAAUUACUGGGCGUAAAGGGCGCGUAGGCGGACAGUUUAGUCAGAGGUGAAAGCCCAGGGCUCAACCUUGGAAUUGCCUUUGAUACUGGCUGUCUUGAGUACGGGAGAGGUGAGUUGAACUCCGAGUGUAGAGGUGAAAUUCGUAGAUAUUCGGAAGAACACCAGUGGCGAAGGCGACUCACUGGCCCGUUACUGACGCUGAGGCGCGAAAGCGUGGGGAGCAAACAGGAUUAGAUACCCGGGUAGUCC